rnacentral:rRNA from 1 species
UUAAGCGACUAAGCGUACACGGUGGAUGCCCUGGCAGUCAGAGGCGAUGAAGGACGUGCUAAUCUGCGAUAAGCGUCGGUAAGGUGAUAUGAACCGUUAUAACCGGCGAUUUCCGAAUGGGGAAACCCAGUGUGUUUCGACACACUAUCAUUAACUGAAUCCAUAGGUUAAUGAGGCGAACCGGGGGAACUGAAACAUCUAAGUACCCCGAGGAAAAGAAAUCAACCGAGAUUCCCCCAGUAGCGGCGAGCGAACGGGGAGCAGCCCAGAGCCUGAAUCAGUAUGUGUGUUAGUGGAAGCGUCUGGAAAGGCGCGCGAUACAGGGUGACAGCCCCGUACACAAAAAUGCACAUGCUGUGAGCUCGAUGAGUAGGGCGGGACACGUGGUAUCCUGUCUGAAUAUGGGGGGACCAUCCUCCAAGGCUAAAUACUCCUGACUGACCGAUAGUGAACCAGUACCGUGAGGGAAAGGCGAAAAGAACCCCGGCGAGGGGAGUGAAAAAGAACCUGAAACCGUGUACGUACAAGCAGUGGGAGCACGCUUAGGCGUGUGACUGCGUACCUUUUGUAUAAUGGGUCAGCGACUUAUAUUCUGUAGCAAGGUUAACCGAAUAGGGGAGCCGAAGGGAAACCGAGUCUUAACUGGGCGUUAAGUUGCAGGGUAUAGACCCGAAACCCGGUGAUCUAGCCAUGGGCAGGUUGAAGGUUGGGUAACACUAACUGGAGGACCGAACCGACUAAUGUUGAAAAAUUAGCGGAUGACUUGUGGCUGGGGGUGAAAGGCCAAUCAAACCGGGAGAUAGCUGGUUCUCCCCGAAAGCUAUUUAGGUAGCGCCUCGUGAAUUCAUCUCCGGGGGUAGAGCACUGUUUCGGCAAGGGGGUCAUCCCGACUUACCAACCCGAUGCAAACUGCGAAUACCGGAGAAUGUUAUCACGGGAGACACACGGCGGGUGCUAACGUCCGUCGUGAAGAGGGAAACAACCCAGACCGCCAGCUAAGGUCCCAAAGUCAUGGUUAAGUGGGAAACGAUGUGGGAAGGCCCAGACAGCCAGGAUGUUGGCUUAGAAGCAGCCAUCAUUUAAAGAAAGCGUAAUAGCUCACUGGUCGAGUCGGCCUGCGCGGAAGAUGUAACGGGGCUAAACCAUGCACCGAAGCUGCGGCAGCGACGCUGAUGCGUUGUUGGGUAGGGGAGCGUUCUGUAAGCCUGUGAAGGUGUGCUGUGAGGCAUGCUGGAGGUAUCAGAAGUGCGAAUGCUGACAUAAGUAACGAUAAAGCGGGUGAAAAGCCCGCUCGCCGGAAGACCAAGGGUUCCUGUCCAACGUUAAUCGGGGCAGGGUGAGUCGACCCCUAAGGCGAGGCCGAAAGGCGUAGUCGAUGGGAAACAGGUUAAUAUUCCUGUACUUGGUGUUACUGCGAAGGGGGGACGGAGAAGGCUAUGUUGGCCGGGCGACGGUUGUCCCGGUUUAAGCGUGUAGGCUGGUUUUCCAGGCAAAUCCGGAAAACCAAGGCUGAGGCGUGAUGACGAGGCACUACGGUGCUGAAGCAACAAAUGCCCUGCUUCCAGGAAAAGCCUCUAAGCAUCAGGUAACAUCAAAUCGUACCCCAAACCGACACAGGUGGUCAGGUAGAGAAUACCAAGGCGCUUGAGAGAACUCGGGUGAAGGAACUAGGCAAAAUGGUGCCGUAACUUCGGGAGAAGGCACGCUGAUAUGUAGGUGAAGUCCCUCGCGGAUGGAGCUGAAAUCAGUCGAAGAUACCAGCUGGCUGCAACUGUUUAUUAAAAACACAGCACUGUGCAAACACGAAAGUGGACGUAUACGGUGUGACGCCUGCCCGGUGCCGGAAGGUUAAUUGAUGGGGUUAGCGCAAGCGAAGCUCUUGAUCGAAGCCCCGGUAAACGGCGGCCGUAACUAUAACGGUCCUAAGGUAGCGAAAUUCCUUGUCGGGUAAGUUCCGACCUGCACGAAUGGCGUAAUGAUGGCCAGGCUGUCUCCACCCGAGACUCAGUGAAAUUGAACUCGCUGUGAAGAUGCAGUGUACCCGCGGCAAGACGGAAAGACCCCGUGAACCUUUACUAUAGCUUGACACUGAACAUUGAGCCUUGAUGUGUAGGAUAGGUGGGAGGCUUUGAAGUGUGGACGCCAGUCUGCAUGGAGCCGACCUUGAAAUACCACCCUUUAAUGUUUGAUGUUCUAACGUUGACCCGUAAUCCGGGUUGCGGACAGUGUCUGGUGGGUAGUUUGACUGGGGCGGUCUCCUCCUAAAGAGUAACGGAGGAGCACGAAGGUUGGCUAAUCCUGGUCGGACAUCAGGAGGUUAGUGCAAUGGCAUAAGCCAGCUUGACUGCGAGCGUGACGGCGCGAGCAGGUGCGAAAGCAGGUCAUAGUGAUCCGGUGGUUCUGAAUGGAAGGGCCAUCGCUCAACGGAUAAAAGGUACUCCGGGGAUAACAGGCUGAUACCGCCCAAGAGUUCAUAUCGACGGCGGUGUUUGGCACCUCGAUGUCGGCUCAUCACAUCCUGGGGCUGAAGUAGGUCCCAAGGGUAUGGCUGUUCGCCAUUUAAAGUGGUACGCGAGCUGGGUUUAGAACGUCGUGAGACAGUUCGGUCCCUAUCUGCCGUGGGCGCUGGAGAACUGAGGGGGGCUGCUCCUAGUACGAGAGGACCGGAGUGGACGCAUCACUGGUGUUCGGGUUGUCAUGCCAAUGGCACUGCCCGGUAGCUAAAUGCGGAAGAGAUAAGUGCUGAAAGCAUCUAAGCACGAAACUUGCCCCGAGAUGAGUUCUCCCUGACUCCUUGAGAGUCCUGAAGGAACGUUGAAGACGACGACGUUGAUAGGCCGGGUGUGUAAGCGCAGCGAUGCGUUGAGCUAACCGGUACUAAUGAACCGUGAGGCUUAACCUU